UGGGGGAUAUUGCACAAUGGGCGAAAGCCUGAUGCAGCGACGCCGCGUGGGGGAUGAAGGCCUUCGGGUUGUAAACUUCUUUUGCUCUGAACAAGGCAUGCUAAUGGGUGUGUUGAGUGUAGGGGUUGAUUAGCGCCGGCUAACUACGUGCCAGCAGCCGCGGUAAUACGUAGGGCGCGAGCGUUGUCCGGAAUUAUUGGGCGUAAAGGGCUUGUAGGUGGCUGGUUGAGUCUGUCGUGAAAGCUCAUGGCUUAACUGUGGGUUUGCGGUGGGUACGGGCUGGCUUGAGUGCAGUAGGGGAGGCUGGAAUUCCUGGUGUGGCGGUGGAAUGCGCAGAUAUCAGGAGGAAUACCGGUGGCGAAGGCGGGUCUCUGGGCUGUUACUGACACUGAGGAGCGAAAGCAUGGGGAGCGAACAGG
rnacentral:rRNA from 1 species